rnacentral:lncRNA from 1 species
GCACAUUCAACUCGUACUCUAUUUAGCAACUAUAGUAUACAAGCUUCGAAAGCUGGCUUUGAAUAUCUUCAUACCCUCAUAACGCCAGAUCAAUUCAUUUUUUUUUCUAUUUUUAUUAUGUUGGUCUUGUCGAUUUUCUGGGCAGAUGAUAUCGUAUUCUAGACAUGUCGAUAUUCUAGAAGCUGAAAAGUGAAACUAAUCUCUAGAAGCCUACCCCUUCACAUGAUCAGUUAUUCUUUUUUCCUUC